AAGCCCAUGGAAGAUGAUGGAGAUCCAGACACUGUACAUUAUCCAUCUGCUGUUCUGAGGAAGUCCAGAGACAAGAAACAAGAGUAGAAAAACCCAGAAGGAGACCCCAUCUGAGGCUGCCUGCUCAGGCCUGGGUCAGAACAACCCUAGCUCUCCUGGAGGAGGAAGCCCAAAAUUCUCAGCCCAGAAGACUUCCGAACACACUCCUUUUAUUCCACGUGGAAAGGGGAGCAGAGAAGGCAAGCCUCUCUCACCCACCACCCUACUGGUGCCUGUAGACCUGUGUCCUUCCAUAUUGAACCUACAGAUCUGUGUCCAGUGCCAGUUGGUCAACACAGAGUUAAGGAAGCUCCCAUGAGCUCCUGGGGUAGAUGGAGGCUUUAAGCAUCAUCCUCAGGCCUUCUUGACUCUGAAAGGUGUUUGCCAGCCCACUUUGCCCCUGGUGGGUGGUCAGCAAGGCAGGCUGAGAAGGCUGUUGGUCAUCUUCUCAUACACGAGCCCCUCUGAGCGGUUUUGGGUUCCCUGCAGCUCCCUCCCCAGGGAACCCCUCCCAGAGAGAGACUCAAGGACUCCAAAAGACUUUGGUCUUUCUGAACACCAGGACAGGGAAAGACACUCACCCAGACUCUAAUGCCCUGUGAUGGUACCCCAGGAAAGUAGGGACUUCCCCCCAUCUGUCCAGUCCUUGCCUUGGGAAAACCAGCUUCAAGUUAUCAGGUAGCCUCAGGGGAGGCCUGUUUGACUGGGAGAUGAUGGUUCCAACCAACAGCCAGCCAGCACCUGAUGCACCAACAACCACAUGGAAGUUGGGAUGUCCCCUGCUGAGCCUUCGCAGAUGGCAGCAGCCAUGGCUGACACCUUAGCCACAGUGUGCUAAGAAACCUGAUCAGAUUCCUGAUCACAGAGGCUAUGAGACAAUGACAGUGCGUGUGGGUUGCGUUCGGUCUGUUAUGCAGCAAUGGUUGACCAUGAGUGUAAGGUUGAGGGCAUGUCCACCUGGUAUAACAGGACACACUCCAGGUCAUUGGCAAGGCAGUGAGGACAUGGCCUCUCCCUGGCCCUGCCCAUGCCCCUGCCCUUACUGCUCAGAGUUCUAGAAACCCCUCUACCUUGUUUGGCCUGUCUCCUCAUGGGGAUGGAAGGUUGGACCAUAUGUGCCUGGAAACCAUGCUCAGCCCUUGCUCCCCAUGGAGCCUCCUGAGAUCCCAGGUCCCAGGGGAGUCAGUGGUGUGGAUAUGGGGUGCUUGCCAGCAGUUCUUACCUCAUGAUGAUGAGGGGAUUUGCCUCAUCUGUGGUAGCUGACAGGGCUAGAGAGCAGUCUCCUGGGGGCUCUUGGGACCUCCUGGGGUUUCCUGGAUGCACCAGGGCCAUUUGGCUACCUGCCAUCAUCUCUUGAGGGUAAAAGCAGUGUACUAGGAUCUUGUGGCGAUGGUGGUGGCAAAGAGGACAUGGUGUUGGCCUCUCCCAUGGCUCUGUGCAUCUGCGCUGGGGGAGGGGCCUCCUGUUUUCUCUUCUUCUAGGCCCAGUGAAGUCUGAUAUGCAAAAUGAACUCACCAUGUGGAAAUGAGCCAACGCCUGGCUCUGACCUGGGACCAUUAAGAGAAGCAAUUUCUCAGGGACAAUUUGACAUGUAAUGAGGGGGAUUUGCUAGGUGGGAACCACUGCACAGCCUGGCAGACCCAGUAGCAGGGCCUGUGAGUGAGGACAGCCAAUCAUUUUGACUGUUUCUGAUGCUGUACCAGAGGAUUCACAGGGAAAGGCUGGCAGGCCCUUGUCAUGGCCUCUUACAGACAUGGCUUCAAUCCUUCCCUGUGUUAACUGCAUUCCUUGGAUGGAGUCUCCUGUUUGUGUGUUGCAGUGAAAUUUAAG